GACGAACGCUGGCGGCGUGGAUUAGGCAUGCAAGUCGGACGGUAGGGCUUUAUCGUAAGAUAGAGUUUGAGAGUGGCGAAUGGGUGAGUAACACGUAGGAAUCUACCCUUAAGACGGGGACAACCCAGGGAAACUUGGGCUAAUACCGGAUGAGAGUGCGAGAGAUUGCAUUUAAAAGGAUGGCGAAAGUUAUCGCUUAGGGAUGAGCCUGCGGUCUAUUAGUUAGUUGGUGGGGUAAGAGCUCACCAAGGCGAUGAUAGAUAGGCGGCCUUAACGGGUGGUCGCCCACACUGGGAUUGAGAUACGGCCCAGACUCCUACGGGAGGCAGCAGUCGAGAAUAGUCUACAAUGGCCGGAAGGCUGAUAGUGCGACGCCGCGUGAACGAGGGAGCCCUUCGGGGUGUAAAGUCUUUCUAUACGAGCAGUGCUAUAUAUAUGGAUAGUAUAUAUAGAGGGAUAGUAGUAUAGGAAUAAGCAAUCGGCUAACUCCGUGCCAGCA
rnacentral:rRNA from 1 species